rnacentral:ncRNA from 2 species
GCGCAUCUGGUGUAGUGGUAUCAUAGUACC